rnacentral:rRNA from 1 species
CCUACGGGUGGCAGCAGUGGGGAAUAUUGCACAAUGGGCGCAAGCCUGAUGCAGCCAUGCCGCGUGUGUGAAGAAGGCCUUCGGGUUGUAAAGCACUUUCAGCGGGGAGGAAGGCGUUAAGGUUAAUAACCUUGUCGAUUGACGUUACCCGCAGAAGAAGCACCGGCUAACUCCGUGCCAGCAGCCGCGGUAAUACGGGGGGUGCAAGCGUUAAUCGGAAUUACUGGGCGUAAAGCGCACGCAGGCGGUCUGUCAAGUCGGAUGUGAAAUCCCCGGGCGCAACCUGGGAACUGCAUUCGAAACUGGCAGGCUAGAGUCUUGUAGAGGGGGGUAGAAUUCCAGGUGUAGCGGUGAAAUGCGUAGAGAUCUGGAGGAAUACCGGUGGCGAAGGCGGCCCCCUGGACAAAGACUGACGCUCAGGUGCGAAAGCGUGGGGAGCAAACAGGAUUAGAUACCCGAGUAGUC